UUGGUAAUUCGGUUGUGAAAUGACUAUUAAUUACAAGCACAGCAUCAUCAACGGUGAUUGCAAGAACUACUGCAAUCCCUGCGGUUUUUCCUCUUGGUAAAUGCGUUCUGGUCGUGACCAAGGGUGGUCUCCCAAAUCGGCCGGGAAUAAGGCUAUUGUUGCAGAACAAAACGCUGCAACCACUGCUGUGGUAAAUAUGUUCCAGCAGAACUGCCCACCGCCGUCGGUGUAAUGAUUUCGAUAGCUGAACAAAUGCCAUCUCCUGGGCAUUCCCACAGCUUGCCGACACUAGCUAUUAUAUCACGUGUGAAUGCAACUGCGGCUAAAUUUGGUUAUUAACAGUGCAAUAGUACCAUGUCAUUGGCAAAAACACUAAGGGCUGCUGGCACCAGUGUUGCCAGCUUUUGAAUUUCAAAAAGCCCCAAACCUUGGAAAAACGAGCGUUUUACCGUACUAAAAGAACUAAAUUUUUUUUUAAUCAAAGGAUACUCUUUUUUC